CCAAAGGCAAGGAUGUGACUUACUCUUUACGCCACCUGAUUCCCUUUCCCCUUUUAAUGAAACAGUUAAAAACACAGCCAAAAAGAUAAAACCAAAGCUUCACUAAAGGGGCACCUGGAUGCGUUUUCCAAAUUCCUCACUGUCAGCAAUAAAGGAAAAGCCUUCGAGGCACAGAAACUUCAGGCCCAAAAUACCUGCAGAACGAGUGAUUUUAAAUGCAAUGAAAGUUCUACCGGAAGGAUGCAAGCCAAGUUUGGGAAUAUCAGCCCCCAGCUUUGCACAGCAAGUAGAACUCCGAAUUGCUUUACAACCUUACAUAAGCCAAACUGGCAAAACUUCUGCCCAGUUAGUGAAACAGAGGAAAUACGGCCUCUUGGGCGCAGUAUUUGCAGAUAUGGGAGCAUCAGAGCAUGCUGCACAGCACUGACCUUCAAGGAACUGGUGCAGGCGAGGAUUGCUGCAGAUUCUGCUAUUUGCAUACCUGGAAGAAAAGGAUAUUUGGGAUGGAUGUGUCAGCGCUUGGGAGAGCACUUUAUAAGUCAGCUUAGCAAAAUAUAGUUCAGUGGUGAACAGCAUCAAGCAGAUGUAAGAUAAAACAAACCAGGACCGUGUGACUCAGUAAGAAUAUCUCCAGUUUCAGGUAUCUGUGUCAGGUGGCCGGCUGAAAGGACUUUGAGUUUCUUUCCAGGAAGCUGCUGAGCCCACUGUUUGUAAUAUGCUUUUGUG
ensembl:lncRNA